GACGAACGCUGGCGGCGUGCCUAAUACAUGCAAGUAGAACGCAGUGGGGACGGGUGAGUAACACGUGGGUAACCUCCCAUCAGAGGGGAUAACACUUGGAAACAGGUGCUAAACCGAUACUGAUGGAUGGACCCGCGGUGGAUUAGCUAGUUGGUGAGGUAACGGCUCACCAAGGCCACGAUGCAUAGCCGACCUGAGAGGGUGAUCAGCCACACUGGAACUGAGACACGGCCCAGACUCCUACGGGAGGCAGCAGUGGGGAAUAUUGGACAAUGGGCGCAAGCCUGAUGCAGCCAUGCCGCGUGUGUGAAGAAGGCCUUCGGGUUGUAAAGUACUUUCAGCGGGGAGGCGUUACUCGCAGAAGAAGCACCGGCUAACUCCGUGCCAGCAGCCGCGGUAAUUC
rnacentral:rRNA from 1 species